AUCUAUGGCCAUACCACCCUGAAUGCACCUGAUCUCAUCUGAUCUCAGAAGACAAGCAGGGUAGGGCCUGGUUAGUACUUGGAUGGGAGAAUUGUGAUUUCUCCCUGUGACAAUUGAAA
rnacentral:rRNA from 1 species